CCACUCGUUUUGAAUUGCAUUGGCAGCCAGACCUUUGUCAUUCAAAUACAAACAGGAACCUUGCUCGCUUCUUCCUCACACGGUUUUAAAGCCAUCUUUAUGCUUGAAAUAUGAAUAUACUAAAGCCAUUUUAAUCAGUUUGUAUCGCUUCCAUCGCACUGACACUUAGAAACAAUCAUUAUAGAACCCUCGCACCACAAUAGCAGAUAUAUUCCCAUACAAACGAC